GGAAGUGUUUUAUCGCAGGUGCGGUACUUGGUCUUCAAAACCAAAGAAAGGCUGAAUAAGUCUUUGGUAGGUUCGAUUCCUAUACGCUUCCGCCA
rnacentral:tRNA from 1 species